AGAGUUUGAUCAUGGCUCAGGAUGAACGCUAGCGGUGCGCCUAACACAUGCAAGUCGAACGGAGACGGAAGUGACACAGAGUGAUGAAAAUAAGAAGCUCUCAUAAAUAAAGAGUAUUCCUUUUCUCCCUUCUGUGUCACUUCCUGAUCAGUGGCAAACGGGUGAGUAACGAGUUUGUACCUACCCCAAAGUGAGGGAUACCUCCAUGAAAGUGGAGUUAAUACCGCAUAGUCUCGCAAGAGUAAAGCCGCAAGGCGCUUUGGGAGGGGCAUGCUUUCUAUCAGCUAGUUGGUGAGGUAAUAGCUCACCAAGGCAAUGACGGAUAGCUGGAUUGAGAGAUCGGCCAGCCACAAUGGAACUGAGACACGGUCCAUACUCCUACGGGAGGCAGCAGUGAGGAAUCUUCCACAAUGGGCGAAAGCCUGAUGGAGCGACACCGCGUGAAGGAUGAAGCGUUUACUCGUGUAAACUUCUUUUCUGUGGGAAGAUAAUGACGGUACCACAGAA
rnacentral:rRNA from 1 species